rnacentral:lncRNA from 7 species
AUUACGCAAGUACUAGUUUAUUGCAGCACUCUUUCCUCAAGACAUGACUCAUACAAGUGUACCCACGUUACAGAAUCUCUUGGAUGUUGACAAACGCAAACAGCUAUUCUGUACAAUUCCAUGUUCUAAGACACUGUUUACAGGCACAGCACCCACAUAUUCCAUACAUUUUAUGGCAUGGUUAACAUUAACACAUAUGUCAGACUAACAAGACAAUGGUCAAAAAGCAUCCACAUCCAAUAAAUGACAUUACAUUCACACUAACAUUAUGUACUGCAGCCCACCUCAGCAGCAGAGCAGAUCUCAGCCCACCUGAAGUAAAUGCAAGUCUCAGACUGGCCAGGAAGGAGCGCAAAUGGCCUCCGCUGGCCCCGGGCGUUGGUUACGGGGUUGGUGCAAAAUGACAGCACACGCUGAAAUCAGUGUGACUCUCAGCAUGGCCGUGAGUCUCAAACAUCCUGGAUGGAGCACAAAUGGUCUCUGUCCAGCUACAGGAUGUCAGUUACGGGAUUAGGGUCAGCCACGCUAGCAAACUCAAAGCGAAGGUGACCCAACCGCAUGAGUGAGGCAAACCCUUUGAUGUGCUCUCCCUUGAAAUUCUCUGAAAGAUUGCAGCCGGCUACUUGGACGGGUACAUUGCUUGCUAGAUGAAGAAGUAGCUGAACCGCCUGGCCUAAUGAGUGCUGCUCAGUCCU